rnacentral:lncRNA from 1 species
AAUGUCAUCAAACGAGUGGGGUCUGAUGUCCAGUGUGGACACUGAUAGCCUGGAUGUCAUCAAACGAGUGGGGUCUGAUGUCCAGCUUGGAAAGUUUGGCUUUAAGUGUACACUCACCUACUGAUUUGGAGCCAAGGUUUUGUUCAGCUCUGCCAGGUGCAGUGCGUGGCUGCUGGGCUGUAACCUCAGCACCAUCCCAUGGCCACCCUUGCCAGGAGAACAGCACAGAAGAAAUUAUCUCCUGCAGGACUAUCAUGUGUUUGGGACUUCAGUGGUGCUAUUCAAGUCCCUCAGUGAAAGUCCUAUCAUACAGACUGCAGUUAUUUUGCUGAUGUGCUGUUCCUUUUGGCUAUAAAAGCAUCAGUAUGCUGCACAGCCUUGAAAAGAGAAGAAUACAUAGACACAAAAACCCCUCACAAGUGGUUACGGUACCUCCGCAGCCCCUUAUGCAACAGGGUUUUGGCCAGGCCCGAGGGGCUCCGGCCCCACACGGAUGCAGACCAACCUCGCGUGCCUCGGCACAGCUUCGCAGGUCGGGGCUAAUUCUGCAGAAGCAUCUCUUUUGUGUUGAAGGAUUUUGCAGCGUUUCAGCAAGAUAUUUCAGCGAUCAGUCAUCACUUCGCCGUGCGUAUCCUCCCCCAGCUGCCACUCAAGCUGUCACUCGGAGCAGCGGUCCAAGAGACGCUGCUCACACGGGCAGCGCAAGGGCAGCAUAA